rnacentral:rRNA from 1 species
UACAGAGGUCCCAAGCGUUGUUCGGAUUCACUGGGCGUAAAGGGUGCGUAGGUGGUGGGGUAAGUCGGAUGUGAAAGCUCGGAGCUCAACUCCGAAAUGGCAUUGGAAACUACCCUGCUAGAGGAUUGGAGGGGGGACUGGAAUUCAUGGUGUAGCAGUGAAAUGCGUAGAGAUCAUGAGGAAGACCAGUGGCGAAGGCGGGUCUCUGGACAGUUCCUGACACUGAGGAGCGAAAGCGUGGGGAGCGAACAGG